CAAAUAUAUAGCACGUGUAGCUCCCUCCAAUUCAGCGCGCAUUUUCGAUAUUGCCGAGGAUAAGCAAAGAAGAAAUAACAACCAUGCGUUUGGUAGUGCUUGGACUGUUGAGUGUGCUGAGUGCAAUCUUGUUCCUUAGCAACUCCGUACAGGGCGGCGGUUAUAACGUUGGCGGCUAUGGAGGGUAUGGUUACGGCGGCUACGGGUUCGGCGGAGGUGGCGGUGGCGGCGGGGGAUUCGGAAGUAUCUUCGGCAUACUCAUCUUCCUGUUUGUGUUCAUCAUAAUCAUCCGGGUGCUGUUCGGUGGAGCACUUGGAAUUGGAGGGGGAAGCAACAGCAACAGCUAUUAGAUAAUCGACAGAUGAGAUUUUACCGGACUGACUUGGACUGGACCAACGCAUUGAAUCAAAUUUGUUUAAAAGUUGUAAAAACUUGAUUUUGAAUAAAUGUUGAAGCAUG